CCUACGGGUGGCAGCAGUGAGGAAUAUUGGUCAAUGGGCGAGAGCCUGAACCAGCCAAGUCGCGUGAGGGAGUACUGCCCUAUGGGUUGUAAACCUCUUUUGUCGGGGAGCAAAAGCCGGACGUGUCCGGCUGUGAGAGUACCCGAAGAAAAAGCAUCGGCUAACACUGUGCCAGCAGCCGCGGUAAUACUGAGGAUGCGAGCGUUAUCCGGAUUUAUGGGGUUUAAAGGUUGCGCAGGCGGAGUUUUAAGUCAGCGGGAAAAUCGUGGGGCUAAACCCCAUCCAGCCGUUGAAACUGGGGAUCUAGAGUGUGGGAGAGGUAUGCGGAAUGCGUGGUGUAGCGGUGAAAUGCAUAGAUAUCACGAAGAACCCCGAUUGCGAAGGCAGCAUACCGGUGCACAACUGACGCUCAGGCACGAAAGCGUGGGUAUCGAACAGGAUUAGAUACCCUGGUAGUC
rnacentral:rRNA from 1 species